UCUGAUCUUUCUUCCCCCAUCUAAGAUAAAACAGUCUGUCUGUCCUAUAAAUGCAUAGUGAAGUGUAAUUUCACAUCAAAUCUUUGUCCCAUGGUCAGGUAAUGUGAUGCUCAUCUAAAGGAUAAGAGAGCUUGACAAGCUUCAGCUCACCAAAAAGGUCAAGACGAGAUGGCAUCCUCUGACAAUGGCAGUCACAGAACUCUGUGCUUCUUAUUAAAGAUGAAACAGGAUUGAAGAAACCAGCAGGGCUCUGCUCAUGAUGCUUUCUAAAGGGUUUGCUUGCUGUUUGCCCUGUGUCAAGGAAGAAGACUGAAUUUGCUGUUUACACUGUUCUCUCACUGUGCUGGACAGGGAGCUCUCAGAUGCAAGGUGCGAUGCUUUGACUGGCAUAUUGUUGUAUGGGACUGUAUUAAAUGAGCGAGUAGCUGCUUUAACUCGUUGCAGCAGCACUGUGAGAACUAAACCAGCUCUGCUCCAAAGGCCUCUCAUCUUUCAUGUGUUAUAAUAUUUUAUUCAUUUGACAAUAGUCCCAUAAAUUUCCCCAUGAACACCUCUUCCUCUCCUUGGUAUUGUUAAUAUUAAAGAGUUGACUAACUUUGGGUUUAGCAUUGGACGUUGCCCUUGAUAAAACUCAAUGCGAAGUAUUAUUUACAUUAAAGGUUUCUGUUUCCUACUGAAAUCAGUAGCAGAUGACUCACAAAAGUGCAAAGAUGGCAAAAAGCCCCUGCUUGUGAAGAGCAAGCUCUUUAUUUUCCUUCUCCAGAGCUCCUUGCAGGAACAGCUCUGGUGGUUGUCCUGGAAGCAGCUUCAUUGUCACGCAUUCAAUGCAACCUUCCCUUUAACAAAAGACGAUACAUUUCUUUCUCUCUCUAAUUAAAGCUUAGACUUCAAAACAUUGUAUAUUGUCUGGGGCUCCAACCAUCUUCUAAAAGAAGAAGAAUAACCCUUUCUUUUGGAGGAAAAGAUCUCAAUGCUAUCUAUACUUCAUGGAUUUUGAAGUCAGCACAUGAGCAUUGUGAGUUGCAUAAAUCCGAUGGAUAUUCUGUGCUUCAACACAAAAACUUGUCACCCAGGACAUUAUUGCCUGAGGCUUGGAAUAGAGAAGCUGCAAGCCCCUGCCAGACACGCUCCAGACAUACUGAUAUAUCUUUGCAAUGUAUUUUUACUGUCCAAAUACUAGCUAGAUAAGUUCAUGUAAAAGUCACGCAAUAAAAAUAUCUCCAUGCCGGGCUGAGGAUAGUCAUAUCCGUUCUUUUCGAAGUCAAAUAUAAAUGAUCCUGCUCAUUAAAAAAACCUCCCUGCUGUG